GACGAACGCUGGCGGCGUGCUUAACACAUGCAAGUCGAACGAGAGCGUAGAGAAAGCUUGCUUUUUCUACAAUCUAGUGGCAAACGGGUGAGUAACGCGUAAACAACCUGCCCUACGGAUGGGGACAACAGCUGGAAACGGCUGCUAAUACCGAAUACGUUCCGAAAGUCGCAUGACUAUCGGAAGAAAGGAUGGCCUCUAUUUAUAAGCUAUCGCCGGAGGAGGGGUUUGCGUCUGAUUAGCUAGUUGGAGGGGUAACGGCCCACCAAGUCGACGAUCAAUAGCCGGUGUGAGAGGAUGAACGGCCACAUUGGAACUGAGACACGGUCCAGAAUCAUAAGGGAGGCAGCAGUGGGGAAUCUUCCGCAAUGGGCGAAAGCCUGACGGAGCAAAGCCGCGUGAGUGAAGACGGCCUUCGGGUUGUAAAGCUCUGUUAUACGGGACGAAUAAUCUUGUGGUUAAUACACAUGAGAAGUGACGGUACCGUAAGAGAAAGCCACGGCUAACUACGUG
rnacentral:rRNA from 1 species